rnacentral:rRNA from 1 species
UACGUAGGGUGCGAGCGUUAAUCGGAAUUACUGGGCGUAAAGCGUGCGCAGGCGGUUCGUUGUGUCGGUGGUGAAAUCCCCGGGCUUAACCUGGGAAUGGCCAUGGAAACUGGCGAACUGGAGUGUGGCAGAGGGGGUGGAAUUCCGCGUGUAGCAGUGAAAUGCGUAGAGAUGCGGAGGAACACCGAUGGACGGAAGGCGACUACCUGGCCCUGUUCU